rnacentral:lncRNA from 1 species
GAGAGACAGAGACAGAGACAAAGACAGACAGACAGAGACAGAGACAGAGACAGAGACAGAGACAGAGAGAUCGAGAGAACGCUUGUCCUUGUGCUGCAGACCCCACCACUCAAUUCCAGGGCAUCCGCAAGUGUGAGGUCCCAGGCUGGAAACCGGUGCCAGUCUGAACCGGGGACCACGGGGCUUAAGGUUAUCUGGGGUCCCAGCCCCAGCCCCGGGGCAGCUGGCGGGAACACGUGGGUCCGGUCAGGCUCGGUCCCACUGGGGUCCCUGGACUGUCCUCUCCUUGCGUUCGAACUUUCGAAUUCCUGCACGGUGUGGCGACACCGCGUGCCACAGCAAGUUCGAUGGCGAAUGCGAGGGCGGCAGGAACCCGGGGGCUUCUGGUGCGCCCCUCGCCUGCCGGGACUCGAGGCUGGGGUCAGGGGUACAUACCGGGCACCGUCGCGAGUCCCGAGGGCGGCCGCGCUGGGUCCGGGUUCAGCCGUGGCAUCCACGCGCGACUCGGGCUCUCGCAGCCGCGCUGCCCCCUUUAACUUUCCGGCCACCACUCGGAACGGCAGCCCAGACCCUUUUUCACGUGAACGCCCCCCGUACCCGCCGACCAAUAGCGGCGGCCGCGGGGAGCAGUGCUCCGCCUCGUGCUAGGCAGCGUGCCUGGAGUGACAGGGCUGCAGUCCAGGGGCAUAGGCAGGGUGACUCCUUCCUGGAGGACGUCCCGUUACCCCGAAAGGACCGGCUGCCGGCAGCGUGCAAAGUUCUCCAGCCUAAGCGAGGUUCUAGCCAGCCAAGGCGUUGGGAAAGACGGGGCAAUUGUGCACUCCCUGCCUUCCUGAGACUCUAGCCUAGCCCGGGGCUUACAGGUGACAGUUACCUCCCCAGCACGUGCAGAGCUGAAGGGUCCUUGAGAUAACAGCAGGUACGUUUCGCUGGGCUUCAGGAGAGUCAGCCCCUACGACAGUGCCCAGAGUCACGUGCCCAUCAUGCUCAGGUGUUAGCUAUGGAAAUUAGAGUAACGUGUUUUACAGUACAUAGAGUUAGUAUUCGGGAGAGGACCGCCGCCCACCGCACACAGCACGACGGUUUCUCAGUUUCAGCUGACUUUUGAAGAGAAAUGUUUUUGCCUCAGAGUUUUCGGAAACAUCUCCUUGAUAAAGAAACAUUUGAAAAUCAAGUGGAAGCUUCAGAACUAGGUGACUCCAAUGUGAUCAAAACCGAAAACAGCUGGAACUAACCGUCCUUAAACUGGCAUGCUGGAGAUGGGUGUGGCUACACUACAGUUUGUUUCUUCUGAAGCCUCAAGGCCUAAUGGAGUCUGAAGGUACAGCCGUACAAUUUCAUGGCAUCUCAAUCUUGAGCAGUGAUUGCUUGAUUGCUCAGACUCAGAGGAGUCCUAUUUGAGAGUCAGCUUGGAGAGCCUAUCAGGGGGUGAUCUCCCUUCUUCCCAUACCUUUUCCAAGGAGAUCAAAACCUCCUUCAAAGGUUAUGCCUGCCACAAUGAGAUGACAACCUUCUCUGAAGGAAAUGUUUUAGGCUCUUCGGCCAACAACCUCCCUACCAUUGAAGAACCUGAGGAAAUAGAGUCUAAGAAGAUGCAUCAACAGGAGAUAUGAAACUCAGGACAAUACAAGCCAAGUUUGCAAAUCAAGCCUCAACUUCAGACUCUGAUGAUGAAGUCUCAGCAGCUGAUCAGAAUGUCACUGGCAACAACCAGCAAAUGGAUAAGAAUCCAAAACUCAGAGGGCACAGAAUGAACCUCAUGAAUAGCUGGCCAGAAAUACAGCUUGUCCUUCCUGAGUCUGCUGAGAAAAGUAAAAAUGAUGACAGUGAAAAUCAGAAGGACAAUGAAGAAAUUGAGAGCAGUGAUGAAGAAUAUCAAGAACCUGAUGAACAUAUUCAGAAAUAUGACAAAGACAAUAGCCUCUAGCUCCAGGAAUCACUCGAGGAAGAUUUCCAGCAGGGCAGCACCUCCCCUCCACAUCCAGCUCAGGUCCCUCAUGAAGACCCCACCCAAGUCCCAGAGAUGCCGCCUAUGCUCAAGGAAGAUGAAGUUGCUGAGGAGAUGGUAAGUGAAAGACCAACAGUCAAAAGACCACCAUAAAGAUUCCUCCUCAGUCCCUCAGUACAGUCAGAGGAGGAGGACGACACUGGCCUGACACACAAACCAUAACCUAUAUGAACUAUAGGCAGGCUUUCUGCUGGCUCCGGAAAAGAGUUCUUGCUUGUUUUGGAGGAGAGUGAUGGUCAGCAGCCCACCAGCAAUCCCAACCAAGAAAAGAAGUUCUCAAGAACUUGUUCCUAAGUUCCAUGAACUUUUCAAAUCACACCAGGAUGCUGCUGCUCCUGUCUUUACAAAGAAGGGGAAGGUGACAGAAGUGUUGCAAGUGGUAAUUGACUGAGGCGGGAGGCCUCAUGUGCGUAGAUUUCUUGGCAUGAAUUGAGUUCAUGUGAGAAAUGGAUAUCUCACACCAAGAGAGUUCCUGAAAGUUGUGAAGAUGCAAUAAGCAGGCCUCUGGCUACCCUGAUCCUUUCCAGAGCAUUAUAGACGCCUCUGAGGCCAUUAGGCUCUGGAGUUUGCUAGCUUUCUUCUGCUUUUGGAAAUACUGCCUUGGCUGCCUGAUUAACUGGGAGAAACAACCUGCACACUAAGUCCAUUGUUCUGAGAGAUUCCUAUAGGAUGUGUUCCUUGGCCAAAGCCAUAUCCCAAGGGGAAUGGCUGUUGGCUUUUUGGCAGGAGAAUAAGGUCAUGCUGCGAUAAGGUGAGCCUUUAAUCCAAUAUGAUUAAUAUUCUGAUGUAAAGGGGACCCUUGGACAUGGACUCUCACACUAAGAGAAGAUCUUGUGAAGAUGGGAUUUGUGUUACAACAGGUCAAGAAACUUCCAGAAUCUGGCAGAGAGAACUAGAAGAGGUCUUUCCCAAAGAUCAUAGGGAGCACGGCCAUGCUGACACCUUGAUCUUGGGCUUCUAACCUUCAGAGAAAUGAGACAAUACAUUUCUUUGCUUCAGACACCAGUAUACUGGACUUUGUAAUGUCAGCCCUAGCAACCCGACAAAGGUUUGUUGCAGAGAAUGACGAACAGUUGGUUGAAUGAGAGUAUAAAGAAUUGUGUCCCUUACUAACUGCAGGAUCUUGAUGCAUGAAUUUUACUCCAUAGUUUGAGAUGAAAGAAAUGGACACUGUAGAGUCCAGUUUGACAUUACUACAGCUUCCUUGGUCAUAACCACCUUCUGCCCACCAGGUGGCCCUGGCAAGUAUCCCAAACCCUAUAGGAUAGACAAAGUCAUUAGGACAGUCACCUGAAAAAUUUGUGCUGGACAGUGAUACCUUGACUGUUAACUUUUGCUAGACAUGUUGAUAAGUCAGAGGAAAUUUGUACCUUGCAGCUGACCACAGGCCUCCUUUCUCUGCCUUAGUGUAUAAACCCCUUACUCUGACAGGUUUAGGGAUUCUUCCAAACAACACUGUCUUGCUGGUGCCCAACAUAUACGUCUGUCCAUUCCUUGCAAUACUGGAUUUUCCCACCCUUUCAUUCAGUCUCUCAGCACCUUCUGCCUCUGCUGGUGGAUUCUUGUUUACCAUGUUUCCCCAAAUCACUCACUUAUUUUAUUUCUUUAAAUCAAAUACAUUCCCAUCUCAAGAAGUUAGCAGAAACUUUAAUUUUGGGAUGGUUUGGCUCUGCUCACAGCCCAGGGUAUUGUGAUGUUCCUGGACUCUUCCACUAUCUAGUGUCUUUGAGGAAAGCUUGUGUUCUUUGAGUACAUGAAGAAUCAAUCCCUCACCAAGCUGGACUUGUCACCAGGCUGGAAGCAUGUUUCAUGAAGUCUUGCUACAUUUGUAAGAUUACAAGUUACAGCUGAUUUUUGCAAUUCUUGGGACAACCACAUCAGAAAAAUCCUGUUCUUUUUUUUUAAAUAAAAUGCCUCUCCUCUGCCUUUUCCUUCUUCUCUCUUCAAGGUUCUCACAUCUCUUUUCAUCCCCUCUGGAGACAUCCCAACCAGCUUAGCUUUUCAAAAAUCAAAACCGCCAAGCUAUGCUUUUACCUUGGCAACACAUAUUCCCCUGUGGGAUCAGAAUACACCAGGGAUAACAAAACUCAGUGUGAAUGAAACACAAAUAUAGUUUCUUUUUCUUUUGUACCAGGGAUCGAACUUAGGUCCUUCCUCUUGCAAGGCAGGUGGCAGAACCACUGAGCUAAAUCCCCAGCCCCACAAAUAGUAGAUCUCAGUGAUUUACUCCUUUCUUCUACAAGAGCAUUUGAUGACCCUGCUGAUUUUAAGUGAUUUUCUGUGCUCCCCUGUAGGAAAAUAUCUGUUCUCCUCAUCACUGAUGUUGGGUUAUUCCCGUGACUUGCUUUGGCCCAUGGUAUGUGAGCAAUCAUGAUGUGAUGCACCAGCUAACCACAAGCUUUCAGGACUACUUUAUUUCCAUAAUCUCCCUAUGGUCUUUCUUCUCCACCAAGAGAAGAGUAUGCUCCUGAUGGAGACCACUGUUUCUGCCUGGGUUCUGGAAUGAGGAAGGUAGGUGGGAGGGACCAACAGCCAAAUUGCGGUUGUACAGAACUGCAACCCAAAGCCAACCCACAGCCAGUGUGUAGCAAGAGUGAGAAAUAUAUCUUUAUUAUAAACUCCUGAGAUGACUGGGGUUGGGAUUGUUUGUAGUCAUAGUACAAUGCAGUGUAAGUAUCCUAUUAAGAUAUCUUAAAAAUUAUUCUUUCACAUUAGAAAGAUCACAUCCCUUCUCUGAGGUUCAAUUCCAUUGCAUGCAAAGUGGGCUGGUCAGCCCACUGAUAUUGUAGUUUUUUACAGAUUAAAUCUAGGAUUCUAAAUCAAUACCUGUAUGCCCAGCUUUCUUUCCUAUGCUCAGUCCAUAAUGUUUACCAGUGAAGGCAUCAGUUAAACUCCUGCUUUCUUCUCCUCAUUGCAACUUUUAUUCUACCCUAAGUAUCUAUAGUAAAAUAAGGAUCCAACAUAAUAGAGUGGAAAGAACUAUGAUUUAAGAUAUAGGCAGACUCAAUUCUAUUCCCAGGGACCAAUUUCUAUCUUUUUGACCAUUAAUAAAUUUACUUAAUCUCUCUGUGUUUUUUUUUUCCUCUUCCAUAAAAUGAGGAUGAUGAUAGAGUUGUAAGAACAAAGUAAGAGAAACAAAAGUAUGUUAGCUUUCUGUUACUGGGACAAAAUACCUGAGAUAACAAAUUUAUAAGGAAGAAAGGUUUAUUUUGGCUCACAGUCUUGGAUAUUUUAGUCCAUGGCUUUUCUUCACUCUACUUAAACUAUCAUUCCCAUUAGCACAAGUGAUUCCUUGUCAUCAUCAGAGACAGAUUAUCACUGAUCAAAUAUCAGUUGUCCCAUUGCUUUUGGGACAUAGUGAGGCAGCAUCUUAUAGUGGGAGCAUGUGGCAAAGGAAACUGCUCACCUCAUGGCAUACAGGAAACAGAGAAAAAGGAGAGGCCGUGGUCCCCAUAUUCCCUCUAAGGGCAUGCCUCAUAUGACCAGAGGACUUCCAGUUAGGCCCCAUUUCCUGAAGUUUUCAUCAUCUUCCAGUAGCACCACAAAGUGGGGACCAAGUCUUUAACACAUGGGCUUUUGUGGAACACAUCCAAACCACAGCAACAUGUGACAUUUCUAACGCAGGACUUGCUAUGUAUUAUGUAUUUAAUAAAUGCCAAUUGCUUUCUUUUAAAUAUCUAACCUGUUUCUUUACCCAGGAAGAUUUGCAACUUAAUAGAAAUUAGUAUCAUAAGACAUAUAGAAGAAAUUUUAAAACUUCAAUUCUGAUCACAACAGUAGAGAGAGAGAGAUGAAGUCAGGGAUUCCUGUGAAUGAAACAGAAGUAGCCUCCAUGUCCUAGGUAGAGAGCUGUUCAGUAUUGCAUAAUUCUACUUGGGACAAGCCAAUUAGAUGUCUACCUGAAAAAUUGCACCUUAUUAACUUUUCAAAUUAUUUUUUAGGUUCAGACAGGCAUUUCCAACAAAGGAAUAUUAUUCUGACGACCAGGUGGCUUUGCCACACCCUCGUCACUUCUUACUUUUCUCCUAAUAAACUGAACAUUUCCUUUGUCUACAAAAGGCACAUACAGAUUUUAAGGCUUCUAUAUUUUUGUCUCCUAGCUCAAGCAACCUCAGGACAUCAAUUACUGCUCCCUAGGCUAUAGGAAAACAUAAAUGGAAUCUCAAAAUGUGACUCAUAGAUUCUAAGUGGGUUCCAAGUGAUAAUUCCAGUUCAGAUGAUUAAUCCAAAGAAUAGAUGACCUGAGUGUUUGGGUCAGAAAUGGAAAAGGAGUGAUGAAGUAUGCUCUCUAACUGAUCAAUUUCAAUUUCAUUGCAAAGGCAUGGAAGGGCUCUCUGAGGAAAACAAUGGAAAACAACUCUAAAUGAUGUGAACAAGCAGCCAUGUGAAAGUUGAGGAGGAGAAUAACCCAGGCACCUCUGAGAUGGUGCGAUCCUAGUGUGUUAGAGGGACAGAAGGCAGCCCAGAGGGACCGCAGUGUGAAGGGUAAGAGAUAAGUGUGAGAAGAUGUAGGUGGAAGGAUGAGAUCAGGGAUGAGAUCACCGGGAGGCCCAGAGGCCAUGGAGAAUGGGAAGCCAUUGCUGGCCUUUUACAGGCAAGUUCUGCCACCCGAUAGGCACUCUGAGAAGGUCAUUCUGGCUGCGGUACAUGAAAAAAAAUGGGGAUGGGCAGCAAGAGCCCACUUAAGAGAACACAAUGGUUCCAGACAAGAGAUGAUGGUGGCUUGGACUGGGAUUUUAACAGGGGAGGUGCUAUAAAGCCAUGUGGUUUAGAAUUUAUUUUACAGGAGAAUCAACAAAAAGACUGAUAGACUGCAGGUGGGUGUGAAAGAGAGAGGACGUAUGGCUGACUUCUAUCUCAGCUUGUUAACUUAAGCAGCUGUGAAGUAGAAAUGUCAUUUACUAAAAAGGGGGGAUAAUGAGGGAGAAACAAAUUUUGGCGAUGGAAUGUCAAAGUUUUGUUUGGGGUAAACUACAUUUGAAAUAUGUAUAAAGAUAGAAUAGGAGGUGGUCAAACUUUUCCCAUCGGGGAUCAUACAGUCUAGGUAUACACGUCUUUUUUUUUUUCCCCAUCUUUUUAUUUUUGGAUAAUGGGGAUCGAACUCAGGUCCUUGCUCUUGUGCAGCAGCCAUGGAACCACUGAGCUAAACCCACCCCACCUUCCUCUGUCUUUUAAAAGUGUAAAAGCCAUUCCUAGCUUUAGGACCACACCAAAACAGACCACACACAUUUGAUCUGAGGGCCACAGCUUGCUAAACCCUGCCUGGAGAAGGCAGGGUUAGAGACCUGGGUACCCUCAGUGCUGGCAGAAGACAAGAGGAGGUGAGGAGAGGCUUCCUUUAGAAAGCAGGAGAGGUGCAGCCAGAACACGGGGGCUGGAGGAAAGUGGAGGGUGGUGCAUUAUUCACUGCUGCCGUGUCAACAAACCAUCCCACAUCUCAAUACCUUAUAAGAAAACACAAGGAUUUCUCAUUCAAGCGACAUGUUAGCUACAGUUUUGCUAUGGCUGUAUUCCACAUCUUCUUCCUUCCCAACCCUGACUGUAGACGUGCCUAACAAGGCACGCUGCAGUGGAGGGGAAGGCACGAUGGCAGAAACUUUUGAGGGCCCUUAGAGAUUCUCCCAGAAUGACUAGGGCCGGGAGGUGUCAUCCUCUAACAAGAAUAAGCAGUGAAUACGUGGAAAAAAUAAUGCAAUUACCCCAAAAGGCAUGGUGUCCAGGAGGUCUAGAGCACGGAGUAACUCAAGAAAUAGGAUGUGGUCAGCUGGAUCAAAAGCUGUUUAGAGGGUGUGUAAGAUGAGGUUGAGGUGACUAUUGGGUUUGGAAAGAUAGAGGUCUUUUGUUUCAUCGGCUAAUCUAGCAAUAUUAAUGUUCCUAUCUGUGCUAGAAUCACAUAGUGGCAAUAGUGCUGUCAGUUUGCUCCCCGAAGGACAAUUUCCCUACCUCUAUACUCUUAAAAUGGAGCUGAUUAAAAACUGCUGAAGUACUGGAUUAUUUUGUGGGUUCAAUAGUUCAACAUAUUUAGCUACAAAAGUAGAAGGUGACCUGACUUGUGAUUUUCCCAGUUAUAAUUAUAUAUGCAUUAUCAUAAAGGAGUCUUUGGAUUAAAAACAGCAACUAUUAUACUUUCUGAUACAAUUAUUUCAAGGGCAUUUUCUAAAGAUGGGAAGCAUUGUACCAUAAGUUUGCACUCUCAAGAAGAUUGUCGAUACUUCUUCCAAUCAGUUGGACUUUCCUGGCCCAAAUCUCACACAUUCCCAGGAUCUAACUGCUGGUUGUAGAGGAAUCUGCAUGUGAGUUUGCAAAAUCGGGGCUGAAGAGUGCAUAGGUGAAGCAGUCACAGUGAUGUUCAGCAGAAACACUGACUCCGUGUAUUUUUCCUCUCAGCCUGCCUGGGGCCGAUGACAGUAACAGGGCUCAUUUUGGCAUUUGACAAGGUACCUGAAAAACCUGAAAUUUCUCCCUGUAAUCUGCAUCUACUAUGACUUUUUAAAAGUUGUUCUUUUAAUAUGUCAAUCCUAACCCUUUGAGUUUUUUUCACAUUUUAUUAUCUUUUUUAUAUUUUAGACUAUUGGAGUAAGGAGAUCUAGCCUUCUACUAUGCAUAUUGUCAUACUAACCAAGGGACAAAGUCAACUUGCAAGCCAGUUAGGGACCCUCAGUUCUGACUCAGAUGUGUGUUCAGCAAGCUCAGCCCUCACUGCAAUGAGUUUAUCAGAAAGUGUCACAUUCAACUAAGAGUUCUGAUAAAUGACAUUUCUUCCUGCUUCUUGAACAUCCAGUGAUAUUGGGCAUCUUAUAGUGGAGGUCUGGACAUCUGCUUGGCAGAACACCUCUUAAUCCAGCCCUGGAUCUGACCAAUUACUUCCUGUGUUCUAGAUUAUUCUCUGCACUGUGUCAAUUUUUAAAAAUCCACUCCCAGUGCAGUUCUUCUUAGAUUGUGGUUAACUUAAAAGCAGAUUUUUUUUCACAUGAAUUAUCAAGACAGUCUCCCUCAUUUAAUAUUUAUAUGAUUGACUUUGAGAGUCUAAAUAAAGAAUUUUACAUUUAGUCUAAUUGACUUUCAGUCUGCCAGAUUCAAUGAUCCGUUUUAAUUUGUCAAAAACAUUUUGAAUUUUUAUUUAAAAAUGCCAGUAUGAGAUAUAUUAGGCAAAAUGUAUUGUCUGAGUGACAAAGACUUUGACAUGGAAAUUUGAUCAGUAUAUUACAAAAAUUUCUCUCUUCAUACUCUCAAGCUAUGUUACCCAAACAGUGGUCAUAUGGCUUUUGAACACUUCAGAUGUGCUGUAAUCACUGGAUUUCAAGACUGCACACAAAACAAAAAGAAUGUAAAAUAUUUCCUAAAAACUUUAAAAAAUAUAAUACUACAUGAUUUGGGGAACAUAGGG